UACGUAGGGUGCAAGCGUUGCCCGGAAUUAUUGGGCGUAAAGGGCUCGUAGGCGGUCCAUCGCGUCGGGAGUGAAAAGCUGGGGCUUAACCCCAGUCCUGCUUCCGAUACGGGUGGACUAGAGGUAGGUAGGGGAGAACGGAAUUCCUGGUGUAGCGGUGAAAUGCGCAGAUAUCAGGAGGAACACCGGUGGCGAAGGCGGUUCUCUGGGCCUUACCUGACGCUGAGGAGCGAAAGCAUGGGGGGCAAACAGG
rnacentral:rRNA from 1 species